AUUGAACGCUGGCGGCAGGCCUAACACAUGCAAGUCGAGCGGGGUUUUCGGACCUAGCGGCGGACGGGUGAGUAAUGCGUAGGAAGCUGCCCGAUAGAGGGGGAUACCAGUUGGAAACGACUGUUAAUACCGCAUAAUGUCUACGGACCAAAGUGUGGGACCUUCGGGCCACAUGCUAUCGGAUGCGCCAACGUGGGAUU
rnacentral:rRNA from 1 species